UUUGAGGCAAAGAAGCAGACGUAGGCAGGUCGCUCAAGCCCCCACCGGGGUGGUCACACCGGGGGUGAGAGCCUCAGCUCCGAGCUGCCCGCAGGAUGUCCGUAGCUGUCAGAACUCCUCCUCUGCCCGCUCUCUAGAAGAGUUGAUGUAUGACGUCAUGUUAGAUUCAGGGGUGCGACACAGCGAUUGGGAAAUCGCGUCCGUUUCUCACCAGGCAAGCGUGGUCACCCGUCGUCACCACGAGCGCAUGGCUUCCCCGUCCUUCCUUUCCGCACAGAAGGCCACCAAUUUCCCGGCAGAGCGGGCUCUGUUUCUCAUUGGCUGGUGGACUCGGAGAAGGCGGGACUCUUCACACAGGCUCUUCUGCCUUUCCUGGCUUUCCUAAGAGAAGCCAAGUUCGGUGAUGCCAGGAACACAGAUGUUCUUGCGGUUGGGUCUCCCUGAUCAGCACAGGCCUGGCGUUUUGCUG